CAGUAGCGUAUAUUAAAGUUGUUGCAGUUAAAAAGCUCGUAGUUGGAUUUCUGGCUUGACGUAACUGGCCCGCUGCGUUUUUCGCAGGUGUGUGUCGGUUUGCGUCUGCCAUCCUUCCAGAGAACGUUUCUACCCUUAAUUGGGCCGGAUUCGCCAUCUGGAUCUUUUACUUUGAAAAAUUAGAGUGUUUAAAGCAGGCUUACGCUGUGAAUACAUUAGCAUGGAAUAAUAAUCUAGGACUUCGGUCUCUAUUUUGUUGGUUUUAGAACUGAAGUAAUGAUUGAUAGGGAUAGUUGGGGGUGCUAGUAUUCAGCGGCCAGAGGUGAAAUUCUUGGAUUCGCUGAAGACUAACUUAUGCGAAAGCAUUCACCAAGGAUGUCUUCUUUAAUCAAGAACGAAAGUUGGGGGAUCGAAGACGAUCAGAUACCAU
rnacentral:rRNA from 1 species